rnacentral:rRNA from 1 species
AACGAACGCUGGCGGCGUGGAUAAGACAUGCAAGUCGCGCGGUCAGCAAUGGCAGCGGCGGACGGGUGAGUAACGCGUAGGAAUGUAUCUUGAGGUGGGGGACAACCCUGGGAAACUGGGGCUAAUACCGCAUGCGUCCUGAGGGACAAAGCAGCAAUGCGCCUUGAGAGCAGCCUGCGUCCGAUUAGGUAGUUGGUGGGGUAAUGGCCUACCAAGCCUGCGAUCGGUAGCUGGUCUGAGAGGACGACCAGCCACACUGGGACUGAGACACGGCCCAGACUCCUACGGGAGGCAGCAGUGGGGAAUAUUGGACAAUGGGCGCAAGCCUGAUCCAGCAAUGCCGCGUGGAUGAAGAAGGUCUUCGGAUUGUAAAGUCCUUUCGACGGGGACGAUGAUGACGGUACCCGUAGAAGAAGCCCCGGCUAACUUCGUGCCAGCAGCCGCGGUAAU